AAAUAUUUUUUUCGAUAUAGAAUUCUAGAGUGCACUAUAAUUAUUUUGAUGUUGAACAUGUCAAGCGAUCUUGUAAUGCUACCGGAAAAACUUUGGCAAACUUGGUUUUGAAGUUCCCAAAGUUACUAAGAUUUUCAAGCUGCGAUUUGUAAAUAGUUUAAUUAGUAAGGUAAUUAGUGACAAACAUCAAUUAAUUUAUUAGAGGCCUGAGCAGACAAAGAAAAGAGAGGUAUUUUGGAAUACCUCAAAUUUUUUUGGCAUCAGUCCGUCGGUAGACGAUGAUUGUUGUAUAUGUGUGUGUGUAUGUAAUGUUCUGGUACCAGCUCGAGACGCGGACCGGUGUCAUGGUAACUGAUUAAGCACCAUACACCACGAAGCACGCAACGAAAGCUGGUGUUGAGUCUCAAUCAAUAAUAUAUUUGAAGCUUUUAAAAGUUUCGAUUAGGACUUUCACCCGCUAAUGGUUUAAAGUAUAUAAUAAGGGUCCGCCUACUACAUGUAACGUACACUCAGCCUGUGAAAUUUCAUCUAGCCCUUUAUACUUUCUGUUAUUUAUAUUUUAUUCAUAAAUAUUAUAAAUUUUUUGAAAUGUACAAUUUCGUUUAACCCCUUAUACACUCAAUUUUACUUAUACACUCAAUUUUAUUUUAUUUAAUAGAUUAUUGUUAUUAUUAAUAACAAGAAUAAAAAGCAUUAUAAUUAAUCUAUUAACAAUAAUUAAUAAUAUUUUUUUAUUAAAUUGAUAAUAAUAAUAAUCAAUGAUAAUUAAUAUAUUUAUGAUUAUAAUAAAAUAUGAAAGGAGAGCGGAGACUUUUAUUUUGAAUAAACUAGUUCCGAUUAACAUAUUUAUGAUUAUAAUAAUAUUUUUUGAGUUGUUUGGGCAAGGGGGUCUCAUGCGUGUGUGGACUUUUAGGCUGCCAGGAGAGCGGAGGCUGGAAAAAUACCUUGCGUUUAGAUAGUGACUUGUGUGUGAGUAAUAACAAUUUUUAUUAUAAAAAUAAGUUUUAUACCAAAUAUUAAAAAAAAUCAAUCAUUAAUUAUUAUUAUUAUUAUAUUAACAAUUUAAUAAAAAAAUAUUAUUAAUUAUUGUUAAUAGAUUAAUUAAUUAUAAUGCUUUUUAUUCUUGUUAUUAAUAAUAACAAUAAUCUAUUAAAAAAAUAUUUAUGAUUAUAAUAAAAUAAUAAUUAUAAUUAUAAUUCAUUUAACAAUAAUUAUAUUUUUUAAUUAAAUAGAGGUUAUUUUGAGAAUUUAAUAUUAUAGGGGCGAAUUCAUACUCUAGGGUUUUAAUAAAAUAAAAUUGAGUGUAUAAGGGGUUAAACGAAAUUGUACAUUUUGAGAAUUUAAUAAUAUUUAUGAAUAAAAUAUAAAUAACAGAAAGUAUAAGGGACUAGAUAAAAUUUCACAGGCUGAGUGUACGUUACACUACAUGUAACGUAGGCGGACCCAUAUAAUAAUAUUACUUGGGCAAAGUUGAUUUUUCAGCUAUUUUGGAAGUUGAUGGAAAAAAAAAAGAAUUAUUAAUUGAAGGAGUCUCCAAAUUCAAAAUUAGAACUUCCUUUCUUUGUUAUUUGAACAAGUAUUUAUACAGUUAAAGCAACAAGGGAUUAAUUGAUGUAUGAAACCAUCUGAUGAAACAGUAGUGCUACACAUCCCAAAUUUUUUAUCUCAAAAAGUUAUCCCAAAUGAUGUGUCAUUAAUUGAGUGAUUGAUAAUUCUUUACAAGAUUCGAGUGAAUUAAUUAUAUUAUCUCACCAACCAAUUGAUAAAUGACAUAUCAUUUGGGAUAACUUUUUGGGAUAAAAAAUUUGGGAUGUGUAACAUUAAUCCUGAUGAAAUGCCUCAAUGAAGAGUCUCUUGGCUGCUAUUUGAAUUCGGGGCUAAAUAGUAAGGAUUCAUGAUUCGUAAAAUAGUUCCUCAUGUUUUUACAAAUAUUUAGAUCAUUCAUCUAUAAAUGAUUUUUAUGAUGAAAAAUAUAUACUAUUUUUACUACAUUUUUAAAAAGAUUAUUUAUUAAAUACUUAUUAAAUACUAACAAAUUUUAUUUUACAACUACACUUUCUAUUUUAUAAUUUUUGUAAUUUAAAACAUCUCAAACUAAAUGGAGUUUUUAUAUACACAUACCCUUUUUUAAAAAAAAUGAAAAAAAUGAUAAUAUAUAGUACAAGUAUUUUAGAAUACCAUCUCUCUGUUACAUCUCCAUAAUCUUAAUAUAAUUUUUUGAAUAAUGAUAUAGCCACAAACUCUUGUACAAACUGAUAUAGAGUUAAUUUAUUGAUUGAAUUAAAUAUCUCUUGACCCACAUGAUGUAUUUUUAUUAUUUUAUAUUUUUAUUUAAUUAAUAAAUUAAUAUCAUAUCAAUUUGUAUAAAAUAUAUUUAUAUAAAAAUUUAUGACUGGAUAAUCACUAUAAUUUUUUAAGGAAAAAAAGGUAUUUUAGAAUACCUCAUUAUAUGUCAAAAACAUCGCUUAGAACCGCAUUUCAGCUACCAAUCCUCUCGAACCCGAGAGCAAAUGAAGUGGAGCUUUUAAGCCCAAACCACCGGGUCCACAAAGAGGAUUGGUAAUCUUAUUUCUUAGCUUUUUUCUAAAAAUUUGAUUGACUUGUCUCCACUCACGAAUGACAAACCUAACAACAUACAGUAUUGAAAUCCACAUGACUUGCUCGUAUUUAUAAGUUAGCUCGUGAAUUCAGAGCUACUCAAAGUUUAUAUAUUCGGUAUGCAAGACUAAUUUCAAUUAAUGCAGAGAUUAUGUCCUUAUUCCCAUGCUGUGAUCAAAAUGUUAAUUUUCUGUACAUGGAACCUAGUCAUCAAUUCAAUAAAAUCAUGAUAAGUGUGUAUUUAUGCUAUUAAAUUUGUGUGUAUUAGUUUAGUAACUUAAAGAGUGCUUUUGACAUCUCAUAUUAUACUAUAUUUUGUUGUAUUAAAACAUUGUUCUUAUAUUAACUCAUAUUUGACUACAAUUUUUUAGUGACAUUACACUAUAUCAAAAAGAUAACUAAUACAAUGAAAGGAGUAUAAAAUGAUCUCACGAGAGAGUAGAGUUUAGGCUAUAUUGUAUCAGAAUACUUUUCAUUUUUUAAAUUUAAUUAUUUUACUUUUAUUAUUCAAUAAUUUAUUAUAAAUUUAAAUUUACUAAAUAUUGAUUUCUAGUUAUAGUGNNNNNNNNNNNNNNNNNNNNNNNNNNNNNNNNNNNNNNNNNNNNNNNNNNNNNNNNNNNNNNNNNNNNNNNNNNNNNNNNNNNNNNNNNNNNNNNNNNNNNNNNNNNNNNNNNNNNNNNNNNNNNNNNNNNNNNNNNNNNNNNNNNNNNNNNNNNNNNNNNNNNNNNNNNNNNNNNNNNNNNNNNNNNNNNNNNNNNNNNNNNNNNNNNNNNNNNNNNNNNNNNNNNNNNNNNNNNNNNNNNNNNNNNNNNNNNNNNNNNNNNNNNNNNNNNNNNNNNNNNNNNNNNNNNNNNNNNNNNNNNNNNNNNNNNNNNNNNNNNNNNNNNNNNNNNNNNNNNNNNNNNNNNNNNNNNNNNNNNNNNNNNNNNNNNNNNNNNNNNNNNNNNNNNNNNNNNNNNNNNNNNNNNNNNNNNNNNNNNNNNNNNNNNNNNNNNNNNNNNNNNNNNNNNNNNNNNNNNNNNNNNNNNNNNNNNNNNNNNNNNNNNNNNNNNNNNNNNNNNNNUUCAACAACAUUUCAUCUAUGUACAGUCAUUAAAACUGCUGUACGGCCAAGGCGGAUGUACGAUACAGCAGUAGGGAUGGCAAAACCCGGAUCCAUGUAUGGCCUUUCCGAUUCCGGGCCCGGACAACAAUUCAUUAUACCGGAUCCAGGUACAAACCCGCAUGUUUCUAAUUAGGGUCCGGGCCGAGUUAAACCCGGAAAAGUCCGGGUUCUCGGAUUGCAGGUUCUAAACCCAGAUUUUUUUCCCCAAAAUCAAUACCUUCAGCACGUUGCAUCCUGAUAAAACAAAUAAAAUUGAAAAGACAAGUCCAUUAAGUCAACAAUCAUACUGCAGUUCAAGUAACUAAGCAACCUUUUUAAAACAGUAAAGAAAACAAGUCACAAAAGCAUUCAUAAUAAACAGAAGUAGAAUUUCCCAUUCUUAAGUGACCCACAAAACCUCAAUUACCACAGUACCUCCUGCCAUUACCGAACAAAAAACUAGAGUAGAGAAGAGAGACGAUAAAGCAGAGAAGCUUCAGACAUCUAGAGAUUGCAGAGCUGGUGUGGUUAGAGGGGGUGGCUGCCUUGAUGAUAGGGGAUGAGGAAGAUGAAAGAUGCGGCUGGUUUGAGCCCGUGAGGCUUAGAUUUUUAGGGCUGCUUUUGUUUUUUCACUUACUUUUUGCUUUUAUAUUUAUAACUAACAAUUAAAAAUUAUUUAUUUAAAUAAUUAAAAACACUAAAAUUCGGGUCCUGAUUUCGAAAAUCCAGGUUAAAAAAAUGCAUCCGGAUUCGGAUAUUUCAUAUAUCCGGUACGGGUUUAAAUUCGGUCCGGAUCAUCCGGAUUCAUCCGGGUCCGGAUUUGUUUGCCAUACCUAAUCGAAAAGAGAGGGUAUUUUAAAAUACCUCAUAUUUCUUUUUAUCGGCAUGCAUGUUUGUUAUUGCAAUUGCUUGAUUUCAAGAACGUGGAACCUGCUCGAAUUCGGACUGGUGAUAUGGUAAAUGUCUAAGAAGCAGACCAGCAGGCCCGUAACGAGAGCAGACAAAGUUAUAUUCCUAUUAUAAAAUUGCUUUUUAUUUGUCCAAAAUGUCUCCGGUUACAGUCAAGGUCCCAUCAACAAUUCAAUAAUGGAUGGCAGCAUACCUAAAAAAUGUCACAGGAAUAUACCUCAUUAAAUGUUAAAAUCAUCAUAGAGAACACAGCAUUUUAGCUACCAUAGAUUAUGGUCAUCAACUUUAUUCAUUUCGUACUCUCUACAUAGAUUAUAGUCAUCAAUUUGAUGAAAUUAUGAUAAAUGUGUAUUUAUGUUAUCAGUGCGUUAAUUUAAUAAAAGUAUGAUAAAUGCGUAUUUGUGCCAUCAAACUUGUGUGUAUCGGUUUAAUAACUUAAAAAAGUCCUUAUUUGUUAAUAAUGAAUAAAAAUUUAAAAUUUAAGAUGUUAACCCCCUCAUCUUACGCUAGCUAUAAUUAAGUGAAGUAGGUAAUUAGUAACACAUACUAAUUUCAUGAGCAAGAAAAGAGAGGUAUUUUAGAAUACCUCAUUUUUUUGUAGACCAAUUUUGUAUUGCAAUUCCAUGAUUCCAAGAACGUGGUACCGGCUCGACUUCGGAUCGGUGACAUGGUAAAUAUUUAAGCCCCGUGCCACCAAGCCCCAAAACGAAAGCCGAUAGUGUGUUUUAAUUAACAAUCUAUUUGGUUGGUUUAAAUGUCACUUGGGACUUCAUCCCUUAAUUGUCCAUGCUGAUGGGUCGACUGCCGACACGUCAGCGACACUUUUGAUAAAGUUAAGCAAAUUGAAAUAUUGACAGCCCUCAACUGUUUUUGAAAUUAAUAAAUUACAUUGAAGUACCAGAAACGACCGUUAAUAUACUUCCACAUCGGCAUAAGAGUAAGACCCUAUUGGGCUCGACAUAAUACACCUAGGACUGAAUCCCCUGUUAGGAUAAGGCCAGGCCCAACAACAUAAACACAAACUCGUUCACUACGAAUUUUCCUAGAAAAUUGCAUUCCCCAAGGACCCCAACUGAACAUGUAGAAUUCAUUUAUCAACUAUUCCUACGAUAAAAUUGCUUUCUAUUUCUCCAAUUAUCUAUAUCAAUCGGCCAAUCUUCUCCAUUAGAUGAGAACUUCACUGUCUUUAUAUCAUUUAAAUAAUGCCUCCGACAUUUUCUAUCAGGACUUUUGUAACACUUCACAUUUCUAUUCCGAAGUUGUUCAAAAAGCCACUGCAUGCCAAUAAACACAAACAGAUUAAUAUGAUUCUAAAUAACCAAUAUUGACGACAGAACAAAGUUUAUAUAUAUAGUACUUUGAGCAUACUAAAUUGAUGAUAAAUUUCAAAAUACCUUGAUGAAUGGGAGACUGCCUUCUGACAUUUGCUAACUUCAUUAACUGUAAAUUUUCCAUCUUAGCCUUUUUUUUUCCCACCAAGUGGAACAUACUUAGUUGUUUUCAGAUAAAAAAUUUACCCAAUAGAAAAAAAAAAUCCAGCAAGGGGGAAAAUUAUCAAAAAAAAAAAAAAAAAAAAAAAAAAAAAAAAAAAAAAAAAAAAAAAAAAAAAAAAAAAAAAAAAAAAAAAAAAAAAAAAAAAAAAAAAAAAAAAAAAAAAAAAAAAAAAAAAAAAAAAAAAAAAAAAAAAAAAAAAAAAAAAAAAAAAAAAAAAAAAAAAAAAAAAAAAAAAAAAAAAAAAAAAAAAAAAAAAAAAAAAAAAAAAAAAAAAAAAAAAAAAAAAAAAAAAAAAAAAAAAAAAAAAAAAAAAAAAAAAAAAAAAAAAAAAAAAAAAAAAAAAAAAAAAAAAAAAAAAAAAAAAAAAAAAAAAAAAAAAAAAAAAAAAAAAAAAAAAAAAAAAAAAAAAAAAAAAAAAAAAAAAAAAAAAAAAAAAAAAAAAAAAAAAAAAAAAAAAAAAAAAAAAAAAAAAAAAAAAAAAAAAAAAAAAAAAAAAAAAAAAAAAAAAAAAAAAAAAAAAAAAAAAAAAAAAAAAAAAAAAAAAAAAAAAAAAAAAAAAAAAAAAAAAAAAAAAAAAAAAAAAAAAAAAAAAAAAAAAAAAAAAAAAAAAAAAAAAAAAAAAAAAAAAAAAAAAAAACAUGUACAACAAUUAGAAGGAGUUACCAGUAUAUCCGAUCGAUGAGAAGUUCGCUUGCAAAUAAUUUAACCACGAGGUAGAAGAAGGAGAGCGACGGCGACAACCGUACAGAGGGUUAAAUAAAUAAAUAAUUUUUGUUUCAAGAUUGAAAAUAAAUAGAUACUUGAAUGAAGGGUUUUUUUACGUGAUUAAGGGUCCGCUAUUAUACUUUUUAAAACAGAAUUUGUUAUUUAAAUAUAAUUUUUAUUAGUAUACUUUUGAUAAGUAGAUUUUUUUUAUAAAAAAGUUAUUGUCUGAUUACCAAUGAAAGAGAUUAUUAAAAACAUAAAAUUAUUUUAAUAUGUAAAUAUUUUAAAAUUAUAUUAUAAAAUAAAUGAAAUGAGAUUGUUAAAUAAAUAAAAGAUAUUUUGCAGCUUAAAAGGUUUUCAACCUCUAAUGCUAUAAAUAAAAAAUUUAAGCUUUUACUGAAUGUAGACAAGUAAUUUGUUUAAUUUUUAAAGACUUAACUCAAAAAAUAAUUAAAAAAAUGAAAAUGAGAACAAGUAAACAUUUAUGACUAUUAAAUAAGUCAUCCCAAUCACAGUAUAAGAAAUUUGAACAUAGAAGGGAUUGAGCGUUUGUAUUAGGAGAAACAAUAAUUGUAGUGACUUUUUUUUUAAAAAAAAAUAGUUAUGGAUGUCUUUAAACUUGGAAAAGGAACUUUAUUUAUCACUCUUAGAUUAAACGGUUAAAAAACUUAACUUUAGUCAAUGAGUGGUGCUAUUGGCAGCCCGUUUCUAAUACGCUAAAUGUGUAUUAAUAUCAUAAAGGGUGUGGUUAUUUAAAUCCAUCAAACUACUUAUUAAAUCCACUUUAAAGAAUAAUUUUUAAUGAUUAAAACAGCCCUAAAUCAAAAUUACUAUUGUAGACACUAGAAUAUAGUAUUUUUUUUCUCUUUGAACCCAUUUAUUUUUUUUAAUUGAAAAGAAAAAAGAACAUUUAUAUAUCUUAAUUAGCAUAUCAAUGAUAGCCACUUGUUGCCUCCAAGACUUCGACUUUUCAGUAAUCAUCUUCGAGAAUCGUUUCAUUAUCAAUAAUAUUCUUCCAAUGGUAUCUGCUAAGAACUUGUUCAAUUUUGGAAUCAAAAUUGCAAUAAGAUCCUCCAUCAAGCCUUCCUUCUAAAUUAAGAGUUACAUCAUAUAUAUUAAUAUAUGUAUGGGAAUCAAACCAAUAAUAUUGAUAAAUACCAUAUGAUGGAUCAACAACAUCCACAUCUCGAUAAUCCAUUUCGUCUGUUUUCAUAAUUGGUGAAGACUAUACUCCAGUUAUAUUUUUGGAUAUAUGUAACAUGAAACCUCCAAACUUUAAUAUCUUUGCUUGAAAAAGAUUCUUUAGAAUGAUAGCCCUACUAAUAUUACUCGUUUCUUCAUUAUUUAUUCUUAGACAUUUCAUAUCAAAAGGAGAGCAGAUUUUAUGUACCUCUUCUAUAAUAUUCUAUGUGAAGUACUGUCAUGCAACUCCUUCAAGGUGAAAAAAUUCAACAGUCUUCCAAUUAUCCUUAAGGACAUUACCGGAACUAAUCUUUUAAAAUUAGUCGCCCUUUAUAAGAUGUAAAUGAGGUGUUUGUCUGAAUUUUGAAGAGAUGAAGGAUACUCUUUGACAGUUGCUUCAUUUUUUUGCCCAAAAUACUCAUGUAGUAGUCUUCUUACUUACCAUGCAUCACCAACAUGAGUCUUUGUUUGGUGGUUGCUGAGCCACUUGGUAUGUUUUUUGGAUAUUGAAUAGCUACGUAAGAAAUUCAAUAAAAUAUUAAUUGAGGGUUUAUAAAUGAAUUUAUGGUAUGUUUAGUAAUUAAUAAUCAGAAUGAACUUGAAUCGAAAUGGAGUGAAAUCGAAACGGAUAAUUACAAUCUACUAUACUGACCUUAGUUUAUCAUUGUCAUAAUAAUAAUAAAAUUUUAUUAUUAAUAUUAAUUAUAAUGAUUAAUAAUUAUAAUAGUAUGACUAUCUGCUGAGGGAUAAUAUGGUCACUUUAGGGAAUGAGAUUCUCAUUCCUACCUCCCAUGUGAAUGGAAACUCUAGUAAUCAUUCUCAAUUUUAGGUGGGGCUCACCACUUUGAUUCUCAUUCCACCUUUUAUUUAAGCAAGAAAUACAUCAUUCAUUCUCAUUCCUUGAUUCUCAUUUCCAUUCCCAAUAAGUAAACAAACCAUUAAUGGGUUUAAUGAGUAGAAGAACUAUUAUUCUACAAAUUGGCUUCAGAAAGGGUAUAUUGGGUAUUUAAUGGGUUUAUUGAGUAAAAUCUAAAAUUUCAAACUAUAAGGACGGAUUUAUUUAGUAAAUGAGUUUAAUAAGUAGUUUAGUAAGUUAAAAAACGAGUAUAAAGAUUCUUAUGAUUAUAUGAUUGACGUAUGUACUACUCAUCUAUUUAGUAUGUUUUUUCUGGAAUCAAAUAGCAUAAUGGCAAACUUAGUACCAACCUAUUUAUGAUUUUUUAAUCAUGAUGGCAUGACUUCUCAUCAAUUUGGGCAAUUCAACCAAUAAUUCCUCAUCCAUUAGUCGUUGUUCAUCUUGGUGCUUUUGCCUUGUUUGCUGCAACAUUUUUUUACUUAACUUUUUCGGCCAGUGACAAGUCCACGUCAUAUCUCUCUUUCAUUGCUUGUAAAUUCAGCACUUUCUCUACAGUAAUCCAUCCACCAAACUCAAAUGUUAUGAAGUUGGAAAAUUCAUGUGCCUUGCAAUCAUGUAAUAGAAUCAUUUGAAAAUACUUAAACCUGUCACGUUCGAUGUCCAUACCUGGAUUAUAUGUUUAUGAUAAUAGAUUUUCUUUUCUUCCUGUGCUUCCUGAAUUUCUUUUAAUAAGUUCUUAUAGCAUUCAACUUUUUCUUGAAAAAAAAUGAAAUUACUAUGUCUUUUCAUUUAGUUUUGAAGACACGAAAGAAAUAGGAACACUCAAAAUGAAAUUUUGUAUCUCAAAAUUAGAAAUUCGUUAUAGUUGAUCAUUUCCCCUCUUUCAUCUUUAAUAAUGGCUCUUGUAGAAAAUUGAUACAGUGAGAUCCAUUUUAAUUCUCAUAUCUUGCGAUUUUGAGAAAAAAGUUUGAAUACAACUCAGAGAUGUAAAAUAUAUCUCUUGCACACUGUAAUUUCCAUUUUUACUUUGGACAAUGUUACUAUAUGCAAUUGUAAAAUAUAUCUCUUCCAUGUCUUACAAGUUGCAACUUUGAAUAUAGACCAACAAACAAAGGUUUCAUAAUAUUGCUUAAAAGAAAACUGUUAAGUUUCAUGUUAACUUUGGAGAAUAAACUGUAUGCAAUUUCAAAUUCAUAACUUCUUAUGUAGCAUGUUGAUUCUCAAUUUAGAAAUGACGUCUUCCAUUUACAUGAGCUGCUUUCCAAUAAUCUUUGUAGGGGUAGUUCAAAGAUAUUUAAGGCCUUAGGCAAAGUAGUCGUUUGAAAAUUUAAAAUUAAUAAUUUACUAAUCAUAUGCUACAUCAAUAAAAAAAUUAUUUAAAUUUACAAAAGAAUAAGAAUGAUACUACUAAAAAAAUAAAAUAUUUAAAAUGAUGGCAUGAUGAUUGCUUAUUGUUAUAUUAUUUAUUUAUCUAAAAUUUUUAUAAUUCUAAUAAAAUUUUUUAUGAUUCUAACUUAAAUGUUUUAAUAAGUAUACAUGUUAGUGGUCGUUAAGUAUGUUCACUUUUAGUAUAUGUAAAUUUUAAUUAUAGGAUUUCUAGAGCCUUUUAUGAAUAAAAUCUUUGAAAUGUUAUAUUAUUUUUUUAGAUAGUUAAUUUUUUUAUAAAAUAGUAACUUACUAAAAUGUGAAACUCUAAGCAAUCACCUAAUUUGCCUAGUGGUAGAGUCGACUCUACAUAUCAAAAUGUGACUUCAUUUGAAAAUAAACCUUCGUAUUGGAUAAUCAUAUAUACAUUAUAUCAAAUACAACUAGGUAUCAUUUUACGCAAAUUCCAAGUACGUAGCAAACUGGCAAUCUUUUUAUGUAUCUUAAGUUAUCAUGGAUUAUCAAAGGAUUCAAUUCAAUCUUGCAUGCUCCAACCAAAAAUCCUAUCUCUAAACAUGUCUUGUGAACAUAAGGGAGAGAAAAAUAACUGAAAAGUUGUUGAAAUUGAUAAUUCUUGUUGAAGAAGUCAACACCAAAAUUAUUGAAAUUCAUCUUUUUAUUGUGCCAUGAAACUAUAAAGUCAGCACUGCCCACUUUCAAAGAACAAGACCCUGUAGAACUCAUCAUUCCAUUCUUCUUUACCAUUUCCUUGCUUGAAAAAAAAAGUAUAAAUAACUUCUCUGUUGCUUCUUAUGUCAACAAAACACAUCGAUGCUUCUCUAUCAUUUCAUCAUCAUCAAAAUGCUGAUGAAAGAGGCUGAGCCUCUAGAUAACGCACUAAAGAACUUUAAAAAAUUAGAAUACUCAUGCUACAGUGCCCAUGUUUGCCCAUAGAGUUUUUGGCUCUCACAAAUUUAAAUGAGCUGAAGUGGUCAAGCAAUUAUUUAUUGCCCCACGCAAUCCAUUAAAUCGAUUUAAAUAAAAAGAAAAUAGUUAUAUUAAAAUAUGCAAAAGUUUUGUUUCUUAAAUGAGAGUAAAUAAAGCAACAACUUAAAUUAAUUUCCACUCUCCGUUCACCUUACUACAAAACCAACAAAAUAAGAUUUUCAUUAGAUCUUUAGUCCAACUUUGUGCUUAUAUGUGAAUAAUUAUGUGUUGCGGCUAUCUUAUAAGGUUAAGUCCAAUUAAAUUUGAUCCAUUAAAAUUUUUAGUAAUUUAGACUUUAAUGUAUUUAAUAUGAUGUAGAUCUUUAAUGAGUAGAGAUUUAAGGGUAAUUUCUAAUUUCAUGAUGGGCUGAAAUAAGAACACCUAAUUAUAACAUAAAAGUUAUCUAUAUAAAUAGUUAUGGUCCUUAGGUCACACGUAACAUUCUAUUUUUUUCGACAUCUCAUCAUCACGAAGAGUGCAAUGAGAAACCUAAAGGAUCCUCUAGGAAAACAUGUUGAUUUGAAAGGCUAACCAUAUAGAAUUAAAGGGUAAUUUGUCAUUAUGGAUUCAUCUAUGCUUCCGCAUAUUCGAUUUUUCAUUCUUGGUAAUAUAACAUGAAUAUUCCUAGAAUUUAGGUGAUGAUUUUUCCCAAAAGAUAAUUUUCUAAUAAGUUUACCUUAUCAUUCUCAUCCUCUUGCCAUGGGUUCUUGAUGACAACUAUUGGAGGCCAUACAAUUUGAUAUCUUCUUUUGUAUCUUCUGAACCUUUCUACUUAUUAACACUAUUAGAUACUAGAAUGUUUUUUAGAACUCUUCAUCCAACAUCUCAACUAGUAAAUUGUGAAAUUUUUGUACUAUUUUUGUUUUGGUAUGGAUCACCAAUGCUUGCAGGCCAUUGUCCUUGUCACUAGCACCAUGAUCACCUUAGCAUACAAAAAAAGGCCAUUGCCUUGCUGGUUGAAUGAUUUGCGAAACUGUUAGGCCUUCACAACUACUAUAGAACUCUUUGCUUUAUUGAUUUUUCUUACUACUGCCAUAACUCUUCCAACUUGUAUUGUUCUCAUCACCAUCAACAUUGUCAGUAGCUUUCAGUGAAGUUGAACUAACUCUGGGCUACCAAAUCCAACCAUGAUCUAGAGAAUUGUGAAUCCUUGUUCUUAUUGCAAAGUUUUUCAUCUUAGGAGCCAUGUUGGUCAUUCGGUUCUAUGUAUUCACUUUACAGUUUAUAUAUUAGGAUCUAAGUUUCUAGUUUUCUAUGUUUUGGCAAGAGACCUUCUGAGGCCACCGUCCGAGCUAGUAUUUAGUACAUUUCCACUCGAAUGCUCAGUUCACAGAAGGUUGUAGCUGGAAGUAAAAAUAGGCGACUUGCCACCUCUUCUAGAACUAUGGAUGGUAAUGGUACCUACUGUUGUGCAAAUUUUAAUGUACUCGCAAGCGCACGAAUCUAUUGUAGUAUAGACUAAUGGUGACGAGUGUCGAUCCCACGAGGAGGUGGAUUUUAAUUGAGUAUAGAAUUAAUUUUGUAAAUCGGGGAUUGGAUUUGUGGUGGAAAUGAUUUGGAAUAUGCUAAAACUUAAAUUAAAAUGGCGAGAAUAAAUUCUAAAAUUGGAAUUGAAAUGACGAGAAUAAAUUGAAGAGAAUUCUAUUGAAAUGAAGUACUUGGGUAUCUGGAUCCGUAUCAACAUGCAUCAUGGGCUAAAUAAUCCUUAUUAAUGCCAAUUAAAUCAUGAGGGGGGAAUCCACACCUCAUGAACCACGCUCUAAUCAAUAUGGUGCUAAGGGCUUAUCGUGCCAAAUAAUAAUAACCUUAUACUAGAGAGCCGGUAUAACCAAAGCGGUAUCUAGACAAGACUAUUAUUAUUUGUCGACGAGAAGUCAAAACAUCCACAAAAACUAGAGGGGAAGAGAAAAUAAAUUUACCAAAUAAAGCCCAUGACACAUGUUGAGACUUCACCUCUGCUGUACCGUACAUCCGCCUUGGCCGUACAGCAGUAUGAAAAAAGAAGAAAAAUAAACAUAAACACAUAAUAAAGAAAAAGAAAAUGUCUGAAUUUUUUUUUUAUUUUUAAAAUUUUUUUUUUCAAAUAAUGAAGAUGCGUUUCUAGAGUCACUAUACUCCAUAUUCAGCCAUCUUCAACACAAAAAAGUUAGCAACAGUUAGUUUCUACAAUAAAAAAUUACUUUCUUGCAUACCUGAGACAACUAACUCUUCUCCAGUCGGUGAGUCAGUCAAACUGCCCAAAGGUUUUAGGGCUCUUGGGAUGAUGCCUAACACUCGGCUUCCUCUGAUAAAAGUAGCUUCUGAGACCAACUUUGAUAACCCUCGGUUACCUCCUCCAUACGCCAAGUGUAAUUUUCUCUUUGCUAUGUGUUGUGUGUUGUGAAAAUUUUAAUAUACUCGCAAGCGCACGAAUCUAGAAAUAGAAUAGUGGUAACGAGGUCGAUCCCACAGGGAUUGUUAUAAAUUAAAAAGUCUAAUUUAAAUCUAAAAUUACUAUUAAUUCUAACCUAGUUGAGCAAAUUGAGUUUUUAAGAAAAUUAAACCAAUUAAACUAAGGAAGCAAUUAAAAUAAANNNNNNNNNNNNNNCGGCGGCGGCGGCGGGGGAGGCGGGGCGGAGGGUGGAGAACAGCCUGGUUCCAUGGCCGGCCGCCCGAGAGGGUUUUACAAACGAGAAUUUGUGAUGAACAACAACAACAAUACCUCUGCACGGGACAGAAGCUCUAUGGUUGGUGUCAGUCUGUUUAUAUAGUACUCUCAAAUUCUUGUUUCUUUUCGGUUUUUUCUUUUGCUAUUUGGUUGUCACUGUUGCAAAUUUCGGAGUCUUGUAUUGUGUGUUUACUUUAUUGCCCUUUUCCUUGUUGUAUAUGCUUUAUUUAUCCUUUUUUUUAACUUUUUUUUUGGGAUUUUUUUUUAUGGAUCCAUAAUAAUAAUAAUAAUCAUAUUAAAAAUGUUGUAAAAAAUUUUGUAACAGAGAAAAAGAAUACUAAUAAUUCACCUGAUGCCGGGUGGUAAUUUAUCCCAAUAAAACAUACUAUUAACGGUGCAAAUAAGAGUUUUAUUAUGCAUAAAAAUAAUAAUGCUGGAAUCCAAAUGAAAAUUUGGAAUGAUCGAACGUUUGACUGAAUCUAUGAUAUGAAAAUACUCCACCAUUCAUUUGAUAUAUUCACGGAAAGGAAAUCCAAACAAAAUUUUCCUAUUAUUUUGAACCGUCAUUGUAAUUUAACGCAUAUCAUGGCUGGAAGCAGGCCCCCAAAAAAAUAAAAAAUAAAAACAAACAAAAUAGGCUAGCAUUAUUGGUAAAUUUCACACCGUUCAUAUAGAUACGGCACGGGAGCCAGAGGCCGAGGCCAGGGCCAGAUGCGAUGCAAAAAGAUAUUUUGUCAACGUCAUUGGAAAGUAAGCACGCACUAACUAGGGAUAAUAAUUAGCAAUUAUCUUAUCUUAAUUAAUUAAUUGCUAUAAUUGCUUUUAUUGAAUUAUUUUUUUUCUUCUUUUUAAUUCUCAACUUGCGAUGACAGGAAAUGAAAUGAACCGUGAAAGGAAAGAACGCUGUGCUUCCUUGUGAAAAGCUCUUCCACUAACAAUUAUUAUUUAUUUAUUUAUUUUCAAAUGCCAAAAUAGUUUAUAACGCAAAGUGCCGACAGUCCAUCCGAACACGAACAUUAAACAAAAAUAUCACUAAAACAUUUUUUCGAAAGUGAAAUGUAUAUUUGGACCAAUGAAAGUUAGCCAAGUUGCGACUUUAUUUUGAUAUUUUUGCUUUUACUAGUAUUCAAUCCUAACCUUAAAGAGACUUCGUCCAAUUCAGCGACUAUCGUCAACAAACACCAAUUAACUGGCCAUCACUAGCCUAGCUAGCUCACUUGUCCAUUCUUGAUUUUUUUCCGAAGUCAUUGCACGUUUAUUUUUUUAUUUGCAAAUUGAUCAAUAGUGAAACGUUAGCGUCUUCUACCCAUCUACCCACUUUAAGCUUUCCUAGAACAAUCCCCCCCUACUGGGUACCAUUUGCAAAAUAUUUUUAAAAAAAAAUCUUCAAAAUUAAUAUUUUAAGCAUUUUUAAUUCCAUUUAAUGAUCUAAACAAAAUUUUGUUUUGAUAAGAAACCCAAAAAUGUAUCAAAUAUGGAGAACCAUUACAGUGAUAAUUUUAUUUUAUUUUUUUUAAAAAAAAGAAAAUUCUCAUGGUUUUCUGCUGUACGGCCAAGGCGGAUGUACGGUACAGCAGUUCACCACCAGAUAAGGAAUGAGGAGAUGUUUAAUUGGUACAUUUCAUUACUCAACAUUUUUUUAAUAUUUAAGUUUUAUUUUAAAUAUCAACUGAAAUAGUAUUUAUUCAUUAAAUGAUAAUUUUAUAAUUUUAUAAAAUAUAAAAUAUAUUAUUUAGUAAAUAAGCGGUACAUAAUAUUUAAAUUCAAGAUAAGAUUCAAGCACAAAACUACAAACCAUUAAAGCUCGAAAUGAGCGGUGGGUAAACUGCUUCUUGGCUUCAAAAAGAACUUUUAAGGAAUUUGGUUGUGACAUUAGCGUCACUCUGCACUUAGAACUUAUCAGAAAUCCAAAUUCCAUAAUCUAUAUAUUUUAUAGUAAUAAAAAAGGAAAAAUUACGUUUCGAAAAUGGGAAUCUUUCAAUGGAACGAGCAUUACUAAGCAACGUCAUCGCCACUUCGGAUUGGUGCGCGAAUCAACUUCUCCCUCGAAUCUCUCCCUCUUUUUUAUCUCGUCAUCGUCACACUCGCUUCACUGUCGCCAAACCCGCUUAUUUCUCUUAGUAAGUCCGCUCUUUGCCUCUCGAAGCAACUCGUUUUGUAAUUCUAGCGUUAUUAUGUACAUAUGCUAGUUUCUGCUUACACUUUCCUUGGAUGGGUAUUUUUUUAUGUCUCUGUAUUUCAAUUUAGUUUGUUUCUUCUUUAGUUCCUUUCAAGAAUCAUAUUUUUACAUGUUGUUACAUUAAUAUGAAUGCUGAUGGUGUUUUUUUGAGCUAAUACGAUGAAUCUUUCUUGUAUUUUGUCAAUUCAUAGUGUUUUUGGUUUCAUUGUAGAAAUGUUAUUUCUCCAUUAUUGAGUUGUUAUGAUUGUCUUUAUCUAUUCAAUUUUUGUAGUAAAAGAUUGUCCGUCUUUCUAGCCAUGGAUGCUUCUAAGGCUGCCCCAGCAAAGCAAGUGUCCUCAGUUUUAGAUGCAACUGCUGAAGAGGAGUAUGCUUCGCUGUCAAAGUUGCUUCAAGAUUUCACCAAUAUCUCUAGUAUUGACAAGGCAUGGACUUUUAAUUCUGGCAAUGGUACGACUGACUAUGAUUGCAAUUUUUUUUUUCAGUUUCAUUUUUUCGGUAAGUAUCUGUUGCUCAACAAUUUUUGGCUUCAAAUUUUUGAUGCAGGAAAUGGGACACAGGCUAUGUUUUCUAUUAGCCAACCGAACCUUUUGGCAAACAAGAGGAAGAAAUUUAUGUUAUCAACAGUUAUCUCAAAAGAAAAUGAAAAUUCUGUGACCUUUCAAUGGGCUCCAUUUCCUGUUGAGAUGACUGGUGCAUCUGCAGUUGUUCCAUCUCCAUCUGGUUCAAAGCUUCUUGUUGUUCGGAAUCCUGAAAAUGAAUCCCCCAUUCAAUUUGAACUCUGGAGUCAAUCUCAGUUGGAAAAGGAAUUCCAUGUCCCUCAAACUGUUCAUGGCUCAGUAUAUGCCGAUGGAUGGUAAUGAUUACUGAUUCAAAUAAUUUAAGUCAAGCUAAUGUACUUCCAAUUUUGCGGUGUCUACCUUUAGAAGUUGUUCAGUUGUAAGUAGUUUUGCUGUAAUUGAACCAGGGAGUGCCAGUGGGUCUUGUACUGUGGUUGCACAAGUGGGUGUUUUUAUUUUAUUUUUCAUCCCAGAAAAGUUACAAGCUUUCUGAUCAUUACAGGUUUGAAGGAAUCUCUUGGAACUCUGAUGAAACUCUCAUUGCUUAUGUUGCUGAGGAACCGUCUCCCUCAAAACCCACUUUCAGUCUGGGCAGCACAAAAGGUGGUUCCUCGGAUAAGGAUUGUAAUAGCUGGAAAGGUCAAGGUGAUUGGGAGGAGGAUUGGGGAGAAACCUAUGCAGGAAAGAGGCAGCCUUCUCUCUUUGUAAUCAACAUUAACAGGUCUCCUAUCUCUAUUUUUGUUUACUCCAGUGCUUUAAGUUAUUUAGAAUGUUGAAAUCUGAAUUUCAACUUCCUUCUGUUGCUCAGUGGAGAGGUACAGGCUGUUAAAGGAAUUCCAAAAUCUUUGAGUGUUGGUCAAGUUGUGUGGGCUCCUGCUGUACCGUACAUCCGCCUUGGCCGUACAGCAGACGAAUCUAUUGUAGUAUAGACUAAUGGUGACGAGUGUCGAUCCCACGAGGAGGUGGAUUUUUAAUUAUAUAUAGAAUUAAUUUUGUAAAUGGGUGGUUGGAAUUGUGGUGGAAGUGAUUUAAAAUAUGCUAAAAUUUGGAAUUGCAAUGGCGAGAAUAAAUUGUAGAGAAAAUUGAUUAAAUUGACGUACUUGGGUAUCUGGAUCCGUAUCAACAUGCAUCAUGGGCUAAAUAUUCCUUAUUAAUACCAAUUAAAUCAUGAGGGGGGAAUCACACCUCAUGAACCACGCUCUAAUCAAUAUGGUGCUAAGGGCUUAUCGUGCCAAAUAAUAAUAACCUUAUACUAGAGAGCUGGUGUAACCAAGGCGGUAUCUAGACAAGAUCAGUAUUAUUUGUUGACGAAAAGUCAAAUCAUCCACAAAAACUAGAGGAGAAAAGAAAAUAAAUUUACCAAAUAAAGCCCAUGACACAUGUUGAGACUUCACCUUCAACCCAAGCUUGAAAGGAAAUUAGCUACUCAUAAUUGAACUAGGGGCAAAAUGGGAAUUUAUUAAAAUACAAAGAAAGAGUAAGGCGGAUGUACGGUACAGCAGAAAUUAGGGGGGAGAGGCCCCCUUUUUAUAGAUAUAUGGAGUAAAUCAUGGCCAUCGGAUUAAAAAUAGUUUGGACGCUCAGGAUUGCGCCACGUCAUCAGUCAACAGUCCACGGUUUGACCACGCGGAUGAACAGUAACACGGUUUGACCCGGGUGAAUAGUGACAUUGUUUGGUUGAAAAUAAUCUUGUGUGAUGCAUGUACCGUACGCGAGAUUUUUCGUCCACUGAUAUGCUGCCACGUCACCAUCAAUAGUACAUAAGAAUUUUAGCCCAACAGGAUCGUGACACCUCAUCAGUCAAUGCCACAUCAUCGGUCAAUGCCACGUCAUCGAUCCGUCUAUGUGAACAGUGUCAUGAACAGUAACGUAGACAGUACCGUACAUGUGAAUAGUGCCAUUUUUCAUUUUAUACUCCUCCUAAGGUUUUCGACCGUCCUGAGUUCAAAAGUGAUGUCCGUUUUGCCGUCUGAUCUCUCGUUUAUUGUGAAAUGACUAUGAUGCUCCUAAAAUACAUAAAAUGCUUAAUUAAAAUAAAACACACGGAAUUAAAUCAAAAGAAUGUUAAAUACAUAAAAGUAAGGGUGUUAGUAAAAGUUGUAGUGUAAAAUGAUGAUUUUCUCCUUUAUAAAUAUACAUUUUCUAAAUUUUCUAACACUCAACACCUACAAACACACAAACCCAACCAAAUCCGCCCGUCAAAGCCUACUUGCUGCGGGUAAUUUGUGGGUUGCGGGUGGGUAUGGUAUCUUAAACUAAAACCCAUACGAAGUUGCUGGUGUAUUUGGUAUAUGCCAAAUAUUUAGCGCAUAUCUGCAUGGGUAUUCUCACCUACACUUUAAAAAAAAUAUUUUUUUAAAUUUUAAUUAAAAAUAUAUAAGCGUAAAAAUAUAUAAGUGAAUAAAUGUAAACGUGCACGCAGCGUGCCUAAGCCCUAAUGUCCUAACUUAAACUAAAGAAACCAAUCUCUAUUCUCUCAUCUCAUCUAUGUCUUUAACUUAAUACAUGCAUUAUUAUAAUUGUGUUCUUUGGAUUAGUGUUUAGAAAGCAUUAGUCUUUAGAAAAUAUUAAUCUUAGAGCUCACAUCUAAUUAAAUAUUAAUCUUAGAACUCAAUCUAAUUAUAGAGCGACCUAAACUUUAAAAAUAUUACAAAAGACCCCUAAGAUUAAUCAACCCUGAAUCAGCCGGCAAUAAAAUUUAGAAAAAAAAAAUUUUGGAAGAGUUAAUUUCAAUGAUUCACACACGGAUCAUAAAUUCAAUUCAUCAAUUAAUUUCAAAUAUUAAUGGACUUCUGGAAAUUACAGUAAUGAGUAUUUCAACUUUGAUCAAACAAAUGUAACCCUAAUAAUCGUACGCCCAAAAUUCUCUUUUAAUGAGAUAAAAAUUUGGUAAAAAAAGUAUAAAAAGUACCGCUGAUUCAUGAUGCUGAAAAAAAUUGAGUGAAGAAGAAGAAGCAAGGUGCAGCAACAACAGAUGGGGGAGAAGAAUAAGCAACGUCGUUUCUGGGCUAUGUUUGUGUACUCAUAGGUGUAUCGUAAUUUUUGGAAUUAGAUCUCAAAACUAAGAGCAAGAUCACGAUAACCAGAAAUUAAUAGCACAUUACAUUUUUCGUUGUACUUUCUUUACACUCAUUCUAAAUACUAAUUGGACCCACUCAACUAAUGUUAAAGAUAAAUAUUACUUAUCACUCCAUUAAAAUCUAGGGUAAUUUUUAGGGACCUCCCCUGAGGUUUGGCAUAUUGACACUUAGAUAGAAAGUAUGACCGUAAUUUCAAAGACCUCCCCUACCGUUAGUAUUCCAUUUGGUAUCUUGUCAAUAUAUGAGGGUAAUUUCGUAAAAAGAUAUUUUAAAUUGAAAAAAUCAAAAGCAACCACGUGACAGAGAUGUGACCACUGCAGCACUUCAUCAUCCAUUGGUUGUAAGAAUGGCUUGGACAUAUCUUCUCUUUCAUCUACCAAACCCUAGCCAAUUAACAAUCUCAAAUCAGAUUCUUCUCUUUUUGCCUUUGACCUCGCCAAAUGAAGCUCAAAUCUGAAGAAGCCCCAGUUCCAAAGAAGAGUUAUGAACGUAAAGUGACAACAGCGGGAAAAUGGUGUCGUUGAGUGACCAUUGCCGGCGAUCAAUGAGGGACAUGGCAGUGAUUAAACCUUGUAGUAGGUGAAAAAUCCAAAUAACCCAAUGCAUGUCAAAUUUAGAGCCUUUUGGUUGAUUCGAUGUUGUGUUUGAAAAUGGAUUUAAUGUUUUGUUUGAUUUGUUGAAGAAGCUGCUGCAUGUAUCAACUUUGAUUCGUACUAGCUAAACAAACCAUUGCAUAUUAGAAUUUAGUUGUGUUCUAUGAUUUAUAUGUUAAACAAAAAUGGAUUUUAGCUUUGUAAUUGCAAAUACAAUUCCAAAUGUUUAUAAUAAAAUUAAAAUGAAAAAAAUUGAGAUUUGUUUAAGUGAAAUUAAUUUUUGGGAUCUUAUUUAUGAUUACAAUUUAAGAUUUAGGUAGGUUUGAUUGCAAAAAAAAUGUUAAAAAUCGAGAGUUGUGUGAUAGAAAUACCAUUUUUAUUUUUAAACUGUUUGCAGCAAAUAUGAUUUUGUUAAUUAAAGUUUAGAAAUUGUUAAAUUUUUUCAGCAAUAUUGUUUUUUAGGUAAUGAAUAUGCAGUGAGUUAUUUUUGUCAUUUCAUGAGUGUGCUGGGAGCAAUACAUAUUUCAUACUAUUAACGAACAGCAACCUACUGGUUGCCAGUGCCACAAGCGUGUCUUUUUGGCCUCAGGGUAGUUUGGUCAUUUUGUUGAUCCACUAACAGUUAUUGGAUGGAAAUACAAACGGCAUAGGAGGUCUUUGAAAUUACGAUCAUACUUUAUAUCUAACUGUCAAUACGCCAAACCUCAGGGGAGGUCCCUAAAAAUUACCCUUAAAAUCUAUGCCCGCGACACUUUAGUCUUGACUUUUGCUACUAAUGUGUUUACUUCGUGGUAAUUGGAAUAGGUUUGAAUUGAAAUAAGAAAUGUAAAUCAAAAUAAGUUGUUUACUUGAGUUGUAUGAAUAAAAAUCGGAAUGAAAUGUACUUCCAUUGAUGUGUUUAUCAGAAUUGGAAUAGAUUGUUAUAAGUUUAUAAAAUUCCCUUAGUAGUAGUUGUUGUUGUUCUACUACUAUCUUGUAUACUUAUGGAAAUGAGUUUUUCAUUUCUUAUUUUUAAAUUUAGUGGUUAUCACCAUUUUAAUUCUAAUUCAAUGAUUCAAUUUUUUACAAAUAAACACACAAGGUGAAUAAUUCCUCAUUCUCAUUCGCUAAUUUAAGAAGUAAACAUACCCUGAAUGCACAAAGUGAAUUACUAGAGGAUCAACGCAAAAGAAAUUAUAACUAAACUCAUAAAUAUUAGAGACAUAAAUAUUAUUGGAAUACUUUUUCUUUUCUUUGAUUUUUGGUGUUUUAAUCUGUAUGUAAUGAAUGUAGAUAUUGUUUCUUCUCUGUAUCUUUGAUAUGUAGCUUUCAAUCGAUUCCUCUCUGCUUUUACUGAUAUGCAUUGUUGUGUACGGCAUUUUAAGGCUCAUAUAAGGCUCAAUUCCAGAUCAACCCCGGGGUAUGGGCUGUGAAACAUUGAUUUUUUGUUUUCACUGUGUUUUAUAUUUUUUUUGUAAAAAUUUUAAGUUAAUAGGGGUGGGAUUAUGAAACCAAAGCCUAUGUUCGAAUCUUAGAACUCCGGUCUCUCACAAUGUUACUGCAAUUUGCAUUCACCAUGAGCUUCUAAUCAUAACAGCUUCUGAUGAUUGAACUAUACACAGUAUUACUUUAAGGUAAAAACUUGUAUAACUCGUAAAAUUAGUUUUGAUGAUAGAGGACUCUGUUUCCUUUGUUUCUUCCGAAACCUUCAUACUUGCUGAAGCACUUCAAACUAUGCACCAUGACAUGCCAUCAUUGUUGUUAAAAUAGUUCCAAAAGAAAUGAUAUAAUGUAUCCCUAAAUACACCAAAUUAUUAUUCAUAUUCUUAUUAAUUAGAACUCAGACAACUAGAGGCAUAAAGCACACUCAUGACUAGCCAAACUACAACAUGACGGUCAUAAUUUAUAUAAAUGUAUGAUAUGUAUAACUUUAGAAUUGAGCCCGUAACCUUUUUCUCCAACAACAAGAGAGGCCAACCAAAUGAGUAGCAUAUAUCAAAAUUCUGUUAAAUUUAAAUUAAAUUAAACUGCGUUGAGUUAUAAUUUAAAAUCGAAUAUUAACAAGUUAUAUUUUAAAAACUAAUUUAUGAACUUUAUAUCAUUAUCUCAAAGAGAGAGUCCCCUAAUUUGACUUGUAACAAUAGAAGCAAGAGAUGGCCAAAAGGGUAAUGAAAAAUUUAUAUUUAAUCUAAUUAAUAAAUUUUCAACGAAAUCAAGGAUAAUUUUUACUUUUCUAAAUAAGAUUUAAGUAAAUAUAUAUAAUGAAAAAGAGGUAUUUUAGAAUACCUCUAUUUUAAAGCAGAGACAGAUACAUUGCUAGCUUCUGUUACCAACGCUUAUCGAAAGCAGGACUCGAUGACAAGGUGAAAUAAUUAUUCGGAAGUGCCAAUGCCACUAAGACACGAGAGUUGGCAGUGAUUUCAGUCACUUACUUCACAUUUAUACACACAGACCCCAAUAUCUGUGCUUCCAAUAAUUCAAAUUCAACAUAUAUGUUUGAUUUAUUUUUGUUCCUAGUUUACUACAUUGUUACGUAAUAUCUCAAUUUUGAUUUUCAAUCUCAAGUGCUGUGACUAAAGCAAUUCCUUAUAAACCUAACAAAAUAAGACAAAGAUUGAACAAAACUUUUCUCAAUAAAUAGUUUUGUUUACUAUAUACUCGCAUAUAAUUGGAAAACAUCAAAUAAGUUAAUUAAUAAGUGAUCCCAAUGAAAUUAAAUUUUGGCAAGUUUAUUUAUCAAAAAUAAAAAUAUUAUUUUUAAUGCUUGGAAAGUAACUUCAUUUGCCUAGUUAUCAAAUAAGUUUAUAUGGUAGCCAUAAGUGGUCUCAAAUGAAUUUAAUUAAGUUUAUGUCUUAAAGAAAACAUAGGUUUGUAUACCUCUCUUCAAUUAAGUUUAUGUCUUAAAUUAAAAUGGCUUCUAUUUGUUAAACGUCAAGUCUGAAAAUUUUAUUAAUUUCAUACUUUUUUCAAAAUUUUCUUGUUUAUUUUUUUUAACCGAAGAAAAAGUAAAUUUUUGUGAUUUUUUAUCAAAAUAGAAAACAAAUCUAUAUUAAGUAUACUAAUUUAUUAAAUUAUAAAACCUAAUCUCUCUCUCUCUCUCUCUCGAUUUAUAAGAAUAUAAAUAUCAAAAAUUGUAUUUAAGAUUUUUUUAUUCACAAAAACAAACAAGACACCGCAUAUAUUGAGACAUUUAAAAAAAAUGUCAUUUGGACAUUUAUAUUUAGACUUUAGAAAAAUUUAGACCCAUUCAAAUUGUAGACAAAAGAAUAAACGGCACCUUAAUGGUAUAAAUUAUUACUUUUAAUUUUUUAAUAUAAUAUUAUUUUUUCCGAUCAUAUUCAAAUAGUGAGGGUCCAUUUGGAAUUGCUUUUGGAAGGUUUAAAAGUCUUUUUGAAAAGCUAAAAGUUAAUUUUGAUGUUUGAUAAAUUAAAAAAAAAAAAUUGGCAAACUACCAUAUUCUAUAGCAUAUUUUGAAAAAGUAGGAAAUGAGUUCAUUUUCAAAAUCUGAUUUUAAAUCAUUUUUAUACUUAAUAUAAUUUUCUAUAUAUCAUCACAAUAUUCUAAAAAUCCAAAAAUUAUCCUUACUGAUUAGGAUAAAUCGUUAAAAUUAAAGGGAUUAUUAUUAUUGACAAUUACACUGAGAUAACAAAAUAAAAAUCAAAUUAAUCAUAUAGAAAUAUUUAUUUUAGUUAUCAAUUAUUAUAUAUACAACAAAAAUAUUUUAUAUACAUGUUUAUAAAUAUAUAAAUAAAUUUUAUUUGACAACAAUUUAUAUUCUUACAGCAAUUUAAUAGAAAAAUUUACUAAAUAUAUACGAUUACUCUCAAAACCCAAGGUACUUUUAAAAUAAAUAUUACUAAACAUUUAAUUGAUUUUUUCUCAACUUAUUAUUUCUACAACACAAUUAACAAUAAUUAUUAACAAAGUUAUAGUAUUAUCAAACUGGCUCUAAGAUUGUUGUAUUUUUUUUUUCUUUUUGAAACGAUAUAAUUCCUUCAUAAGAUCUCAAAUUUCUUCAAUCUCUAGUGAUGUGAUUAAAGUAUAUUCUUAUAAAUACCCACCAAAAUUCUCCAACGCAGGAAAAAUGAUGUUUAUAUUCUCAAAAUUUGUCAUAAUAAAAAUGUCAUUACACUUAACAUUUUAUGAAUAGAUACACAAAUUCCAUUUCAUCUUGGAUCACUAAGAUCAACUCCGUAUGUGUGGUUUUAUUAUUGCUUAUUUCAUUAUGUAAAUCUCAUCAUUGUAUAGACGACAAAAAAAGAAAAAAAGAAAAGUAAAAAAAGAUUAUGACUAAAUGUUUGAUAACCUCAAACAAAAGAAAGUAGGCUUAUAUAUAAUAAGAUGUUUGUACUUUUCAAAUCUCUUAUUAAUAAGAAAUCAAUAGAAAAUAAACUUUUUGCAUUUGUGGCAAAAAGAAGGUACUUUGUAAUACCUCUUUUUGUGGAAGAAUAUAUAUAUGCAUAUAUAUGGUUCCCGUACGUUGCUUCCAGUUUGGUACCAGCUCUCCUCGAACUCGCGAUUAGUGACACGCAGAACCUGAAGCCACCAAACCAGCAAGAUCGCGAUGAGAGCCGGUGGCAAAAUGUCUCAUAUUUUUUCUUUUGUUCUGUAAUAUCUGUUAUAUUUUGACUUCUAACUUCUGAAUUAAAAAUAAAUGAUGAAAUGAAACCAAUGCUUUUUUCAUAUAUUAUUUGAAAAAGAAUUUUAAAAAAAAUUGCAUUUAAAACAAGUUAAUUUUUAAAGAGUGAUGUUGUAUUACUAAUAAAAUCUCACCAUUUGAAUAAAAUAUUAUAAGACUUAAUAAUUAAUUAUCAUUUGAACCAAUCAAAUAAUAACGUAUCAUUUGUCACAUUACUAAAAUAUAAAUUAAAGAUCCCAAUUAAGUAUACAUAACAUUAUUGAUUUUCGAAUGGCUCAUUAAUUGAAGUUGUAUAUGAUGAAGAUGGAUCAUAAGUUCAUAACGGAGUUGAACUAAAUGUAGCUACCAACCUUCUCGAACAUAAGACCAAGUUAGAUGGUUCUUGAAGCACCAAAACACUGAGUUCUAAGAGGUUUGGUGAUAUCAACAGUCAACACACCUUUUUUUUUUUUCAAAUAGUUAAAGCAACAAUCGUUUGAUGGAAGAAUAAAACCGUCUGAUGAAAUGCCAAAAUGAAGUGUCUCUUGGCGAGUAUUUAAAUUUAGGAGCUAAACAGUCACCAGCGAGCAUUCAACAAGAUAGUUCCUGAUGCUUCUAGAAGGAUGAAAUGUGUUAUGAUUUAAGAAGAUUAAUGGUCAAGAUUGGAAUAAAAAAAUUGAGGUCUGGAUUGAACAGUUAAUAAAACUGAAGUAUAUAAUCAACCCCAUUACUUUUGUAUCAGUAUUAUUCACCCUAAAAUCUCAACCCUUGCAUUAACAGCAAAGGAUGAAAUACAAAUUUAUGUGCAUUACUCUCUUUGAUCUUGUAGUUUUGGGCAAUAGGCAUAUAUAUUCAGUAAAUUUAUCACUGUAUAGACAGUGCACAGAGGAAAAAAGAAGAAACAAAAUGCAUUUAAAACCUUCGUUUACGUUCUUGUUCCACUAACCGCUUUCCUAGGAGCUUCAGGAUCAAUGGUUUGAAUACAAUCCUCAGAAGUCAUAUAAUUUCUCAUUCAUUUGACCAAACUCAUGCAUUUCCUCAUUAAGCUGUAUAAAUCACACUUGUAAAUAUCCCCUCAGGUGACACUCCUGGUCUAUGGAUUCCGCAGUCCCGGCAACAUUCAAAGCAUUGAUAUGUGUAUGAGCAGCAGGCAUUGCCUCUACAAGCCCAAAAUCUGUAAUCCUGGAAUCAAUAUCAUCAUCAGAAUCCCGUUUGCCUGCUUGAUAUCCCGCGGGAUAAUAGGUGGGCUAUGCCGCAUAUGAAUCAGCUUUUAUUCUGUUCCGAGGCAAUCACUUAAAAUGACUUAGCAAAAUUUCCAUUGCACUCAGGCUGAUCCAGGUGAGCCUUAGAAAAAAAAAUAAGGAUUUGUGUUAUUGUUACAUUUAUUAAUGUCCUUGGCAUGUGCAAAUGCGACCAUAUACUCUCAUAUUUGUGACAGUAAUUAAUACUCUUUCACAUAAUGCAAGCCAACUGGAAAUUUCUUCAAUCUCAACUGAUGUGAAUAAAGCAUAACCAUGCAAAAAUAAAAAAACCUUUUUAAUUCUAAAUUGGCAAAAGAUAUCUGUAUCCUUUCAAAGUUGCUCUUAAUGUACAAGUCGUUACAUUUAAUAUUUUAUAAAUGGAUGCAUAGACUUCUUUUUCAACUUAGAUCAUUAAGAUCACCAUUAUAUGCGUGGCUUUAUUACUAUUAUUUUUUUAUAAGAUAUGCGUGGCUUUAUUAUUACUGCUUUUGUAAUAUAAAUCUCACUAUUACAUAUCUCAAAAAAAAAAAAAAAAACCCCUGUUCUACGUUCGAUAUGGUUCGAUGUCCUUAAACAAAUAAAAAGGAUUAAUAAAAGAAGGUCUGUGCACACAUUUUAAUAACUUUUUUGCAUUUUAAUGGCAAGGCAAGGGUAUACGCACCCUGUUCAUUACUUCUAGUUUGAUGAUACUAGCUCUCCUCGAACUCAUGGUUGGUGACAUGAUGAACAUGUAGGCACCAUACCAACAAGAUCAUGAUGAGAGCCGGUAAUUAAUUGUGUUUUAUUUUAUUCUUUGUUCUGUAAAAUUUAUUAGUUUAUUUUUCCAUUAUGUUAAAAGGUCAUUCACACAUAUUUUCUUCAUAACAGUGUAAACAUAAUUCUUAGUUGUGCAAUUAAUAAUGACACACAAUGAGCAUUUAAUUUAAGUAUCUAUCGCUACUUUUCACAUGUUGCACAUCAACUUUAUUUCACUUUAAAUUAUAUCAAAUAGAAUUAUUAUUUUACCUUCGAAACCUAGAUCAACAAUUAGGAAAUUAACGACAUAUAAAUAAAAUUGAGUAAUUAUACCUCAAAUUUUAAGAUUAACUAAAAGAGUAUUACCUCCUACUGUACAAAUGAAGCGAAAAGAAAAUGACAUGAUGUGCAACAUAAUGAAUUCAUCUAAUAUAUUUUGAAUUGGGAGAUUUUAGCUAAGAAGAAAUGAUGAAAUCCUAUACUUGUGGUCCUGUUUUCUCAUAUAUUACUUGAAAAAUAAUACAGGAACUUUUGUGACAAAAAGAAGGUAUUUUCGAAUACCUCAUUUAAAUUGGAACGUUGGAUAUGAUGAUGAUGGGGGGGAUCAUAUUGGAGUGGGACUGAAUUUGGCUACCAAUCUUCUCGAACCUAAGACCAAGUUGUAAGGUGCUCCAAGCACCAUACCACCAAGUUCAUAAGAAGAUUGGUGAUGCUGGCAUACAUCUUUUUUUCUUUUCUUUUGCCUGCACAACUCAUGUUAGUGGAACCAAAAAUCAGCUUGACAUUACCAUGUGACACAAAAAAUUGGAAAAAAAAAAAAAAAAACACUUUCAACAACAUUUCAUCUAUGUACAGUCAUUAAAAAAAAAAAAAAAAACAUGCAUACUUUCAUAUAUAACAUAUACAGAACACUCGAAAGAUGUGUGAUAGAGAUACUGUAUACUAUUGUUGUUGUGGCUUAUUUAUUUUCAGUACGUGCAAAAUUACGUUCAUGAAUAAUAAUAUUGGGGAAGUAACAAUUAUGGAGACAUUUUUACAUUUUUUUACAUAAUUAAAUUAUAUAAAUAGUUAAAAUUUUGAGAAAAAGUAAAUGUUGGAUUCGACAUAGCAUCAUCGAUUGUAAAUGUAUACAUUAAUAAAGAAAAAUUGUUAUUCUAGCAUUUGAAACGUAUAAUAGUUGAUGCUAAAAAUUACUAAAAUAAGAAAGAUAAUACUUACGUCACAAAAAAAAAAUCUAAAAUAAAGAAAUACAUAUUUGACGAAGACCUAAAUAAUGGCUAAAAUCUGAUAGUUCUCCUGAUAAAAUACAAGUUUUUUUAGAUUUUGUUGCAAGCUUUGAAUUAUAAAUUUGAAAAAUAAAUUAAGGCAAAUAAUGUGAUGCAUUAUUGAAAAAAGGGAGAAAACAUUUUUCAUCCCUGGGCUUUGUUUGAAAAAUAAAGGCAAAUAAUGUAAUGCAUUAUAAAAAUGGAAAAAACCUUUUUCAUUCAUGGGCUUUGAUAAUAUAAUUCUUUUUUUUUUUUCAAACAAUAGCCCAUUUCAUUCUUAUUAUCUAAGUAAUAAGCUAAAAUGUCUUUCCGUGAAUUUACAAUUAAUUUACUUUAUAAUUUAUUGAAGGAAAAAUAGGAUUUUCAAUUAAAUAAAUGCAAACCAUUUAAAAUAAAAAUGUCAAAAACAAUUAAAUAACAUUUGACUUUUUGCAUAAAUUUAAAAUUUAAGAAUCACUUAAUGAAACAAAAAUAUCACUAAAGAAUAUGCAACAUAUAAUAAUCAAAUACAAUCUAAUGCAAUGUAUUUAAUUUUGUAGUAUUUUUAAAUAUAUGCUUUAGAUCUUUAAUUUUUUUUAAAAAAAUAAAUUAGGGGUGAUCGCAAAUCGGAUUUUACGGAUUGGACAUCAAUCCAUAUCCAAUCUAUGAUUUUACGGAUUGGUUUGCAGACUGAAAAUUUUUAAUUAUGUCCAAUCCAUAAACUAACUAAAUAAAAAAUUUAAUAUAAAAAUAAUUUUACUACCGAUCAAAUUUAUAUUUAAAUUUAAAUAAGAUUUAAAUAAAUUAAUUGUUUAAAUAAAGUUAGAAAAUACAUUUAAAGUUUCAAAAUAUAACACACCAAAACGAAAAAAAAAAUCUCAUUAAUUUAGAUCAGUACAUGGAAAUUAACUAUUUAAAAAGCUAUAUUUGUUUAUUUAGUUUUUUUUAUUUUAUAUUAUUAUUGGAUAAGAUAUAAUAUAGUGUUAAUGUAACUAUAUUUUAACUUAUUUAUUUACUAGUAAGUACUAAUAUCAUUUUUACAAGUUUUUUUAAUUAAAUAAAUACUUUUUAUUUUUUUGCGGAUUCGUGGAUUUUUUUGAAUUUACAGAAGUAGAUCCAUAUCCAAUCCAUCGAUUGCGGAUUAUCAAAUUUUCAAUCUAAUCCAAUCCACGAAUCGGAUUUUUAUGGAUCAGAUUUCUACGGAUAAUCCAAUCCACGAAUCGGAUUUUUAUGGAUCAGAUUUCUACGGAUCAGACGGAUUGAACAGAUCGGAUUGGAUUUUGAACACCCCUAAAAUAACUGAAGGAGUACAUAAUUUUUCUCUUUUCUCAACACUCUGCAAUUAUAUAAUUCCCUUCAUUGGACUGAAAUACAUUUUUUUGUGUAAAUCUAUAGAAAAGAGAAAAAAGAUUCAUUAAAUUAAAUUUUUUCUCGAGAAAGUUUGGUGAAAUGGAAGAACAGAGAGAUUUUGAAUUGGAGUAGUUUGUAAAAAAGAGAAAAAUGUAAUUGACAUUAAGAGACCAUCCGAGCAGAGUGUUUAUAUAGGAAAAAGAUAUGAACUGGCUAGAGAUGACAAUGGGCACCGCCUGCAGUGGGUUUGCCAUUACCAAACCCAAACCCAAACCCGCACAAAAUUUAAAUUACCAAACCCACCCGCAAACCGUAGCGGGUUUUAUUUUUUUUAAGAAAACCCACCCGCUGUGGGUUUUGACAAUUACCAAACCCGCAAUGGUAUCCGUCAAAUUUUUUACGGGUUUGUACAUUUAAAAUCACAAAUGUUCAAUAUAUAAAUUUACAAUAAUAACCUCAAAUUUCACAUAACAUACUCAAUUUUAAAUUUAACCAAUUAAAUAAAAAAUUAAAAUUUAAACAUCAAUCCAACACAAAUUAUUAAAUUUAAGUAUAAAAUACACAAAUCCACUAAAAAAAACCACAAACUGACAUCUAAAAAUAACAAUUACAUUUCAUAUUAUCAUUCAACACAAGCUUAAAGAGAAGAUCUCCAUUUCAUUCACCAUCAUUAGCACACCUAUCUAACAUGAUGCCUACGAUAAUGUUUAAAAUUAAAAUUUUCCAAAAAUAAUACUUUUCAAAUAUUAAUCCAAGAAUAAUACUUUUCAAAUAUUAAUCCAAAAAAAAUUUAUAAUAAUGAAAUAAUUCAUGCAUUAAGUUAAAGAAAAAUAGUCCAUACAAAAACACUUUGGUUAGUUGGCACUUUGCAUAAUUGCAUUAUUUUCUUUUUAUAUUUUUUAGAUUUAAAUAUUUUUUCAAUUAAAAUUAAAUUAAAAAUAUUUAAAAAAAUAUUACGGGUCUGGCGAAUAUCCAUACGGGUAUCCGUCGGAUAUUAGAUUAAUACCAAACCCACCCGCAUCCAAGUGCGGGUUUCAAUUUGUAAUACCAAACCCACCCGCAACCCGCAAAAUUAUCCGUAGCGGGCGGAUUUUGGUGGGUGGGUUUAGAUGAAUUUACGUGUUUGCGGUCACAAUUGCCAUCCCUAGAACUAGUCACCAGCUGUUGUUGUUCUCAAAAAUUAAAACCAUGCUAAAUGGAUUAUAAACCGUGUCAAAUUACUUUUAAAUUGAAGUUCCGUAUGAUACAAAAAGAAUGCCUGCAAUUGAAUGGGAAAGGCAAAAUUGUAAAAAAAAGGAGCUUUAGUUGGAUGUUUACUUAUUUGUCGCUUAGUCUUUGUUGUUUACUUGUUUUUAGGAAAAUAAUGAUGGAUUAAUUGAAGACAUGGACAACAGCAUGAUGGCACUUAGUUUCCUGUAAUGCUUAAUCUGGCAAUGAAUUGAUGAUAAAGAAUUUCUGAUUAUCAACAAGUUGAUGAUGAGCUUGUUUUGGAAAAGAUGCUUUGGUAUUUUGAAAUAAUGAACCAAAAAAAAAAGAAAAGAAAGAAAGGAUGUGAUGGUAUGGCAUGGAAAUUUGUUAUUUUUCCUUAUUAUUAUUAUUAUUAUUUUGGGAUAAAAGAGAGGUAUUUUAGAAUACCUCUAUUUCAAAGCAGAAGAUACAGAUUCUGUAAUUUUGUUUCGAUUGCUAUUGUAGCUUCUGGUACCGACGCUUCUCGAACACAGGCCUUGACGACAUGGAGAACAAGCAAGCACCAUGCCAUCAAGACCAUCACG
rnacentral:lncRNA from 1 species